CCAUAGUUCAGUGGCAGAACAUCUGCUUUGCAUGCAGAAGGUUCCAGGUUUGUUCCAGGUUUGGGGA